UCUACGGGAGGCUGCAGUGAGGAAUAUUGGUCAAUGGGCGCGAGCCUGAACCAGCCAAGUAGCGUGAAGGAUGACUGCCCUACGGGUUGUAAACUUCUUUUAUAAAGGAAUAAAGUGAGGCACGUGUGCCUUUUUGUAUGUACUUUAUGAAUAAGGAUCGGCUAACUCCGGGCCAGCAGCCGCGGUAAUACGGAGGAUCCGAGCGUUAUCCGGAUUUAUUGGGCUUAAAGGGAGCGUAGAUGGGUUGUUAAGUCAGUUGUGAAAGUUUGCGGCUCAACCGUAAAAUUGCAAUUGAUAAUGGCAGUCUUGAGUACAGUUGAGGUAGGCGGAAUUCGUGGUGUAGCGGUUAAAUGCUUAGAUAUCACGAAGAACUCCGAUUGCGAAGGCAGCUUACUAAACUGCCACUGACAUUGAUGCUCGAAAGUGUGGGUAUCAAACAGGAUUAGAUACCCCAGUAGUC
rnacentral:rRNA from 1 species